AGUGAACGCUGGCGGUAGGCCUAACACAUGCAAGUCGAACGGCAGCACAGUAAGAGCUUGCUCUUACGGGUGGCGAGUGGCGGACGGGUGAGGAAUGCAUCGGAAUCUACUUUUUCGUGGGGGAUAACGUAGGGAAACUUACGCUAAUACCGCAUACGACCUACGGGUGAAAGCAGGGGAUCUUCGGACCUUGCGCGAUUGAAUGAGCCGAUGUCGGAUUAGCUAGUUGGCGGGGUAAAGGCCCACCAAGGCAACGAUCCGUAGCUGGUCUGAGAGGAUGAUCAGCCACACUGGAACUGAGACACGGUCCAGACUCCUACGGGAGGCAGCAGUGGGGAAUAUUGGACAAUGGGCGCAAGCCUGAUCCAGCCAUACCGCGUGGGUGAAGAAGGCCUUCGGGUUGUAAAGCCCUUUUGUUGGGAAAGAAAAGCAGCAGGUUAAUACCCCGCUGUUCUGACGGUACCCAAAGAAUAAGCACCGGCUAACUUCGUG
rnacentral:rRNA from 1 species